rnacentral:rRNA from 1 species
ACGGAAGGCAGCAGUGGGGGAUAUUGGACAAUGGGGGCAACCCUGAUCCAGCGACGCCGCGUGAGUGAAGAAGUAUUUCGGUAUGUAAGGCUCUAUCAGCAGGGAAGAAAAAUAACCAAAUUGACUGUACCUGACUAAGAAGCCCCGGCUAACUACGUGCCAGCAGCCGCGGUAAUACGUAGGGGGCAAGCAUUAUCCGGAUUUACUGGGUGUAAAGGGAGCAUAGGCGGCGAAGCAAGUCAGAUGUGAAAGCCCGGGGCUCAACCCCGGUACUGCAUUUGAAACUGUUUUGCUAGAGUAUCGGAGAGGUAAGUGGAAUUCCUAGUGUAGCGGUGAAAUGCUUAGAUAUUAGGAAGAACACCAGUGGCGAAGGCGGCUUACUGGACGAUAACUGACGCUGAGGCUCGAAAGCGUGGGGAGCAAACAGGAUUAGAUACCCUGGUA